rnacentral:tRNA from 1 species
GCCCCCGUAGCUCAGUGGAUAGAGCGGCUGCCUUCUAAGCAGAUGGUCGCAGGUUCGAGUCCUGCCGGGGGCG